AACAGAGGCAGAACUCACGACGAUUACCAAAUCGACGAGUGCUUGUCCUUCAUGGUAGCAUGCUCGACAGCACUGACGUGAGGUUCGUGUUACCAAUAAGGUGUCAGUUUUUUAAGGCAAUGUUUGCGUUAUUCACAUAGUCUACUUUAGUGGACGUUUAACAUUUCAGAUGCUAACGUUAGGCUAUCAGAGGCGAGUAUAGUGUCAGUCGUUAGCAUGUUGCGUUCUUCCAUGCACGACUUUACAUGCUCUUUUAUGGUUAGAUUCAGUACGCUGAUGUCAGUCGAACUUGGCAAAAGCGACAAGUCUCCUGGGGUUUUGCACAUAUCGAAAAGUAACUCGAUUCAAAGCAGAGCUGAUUCUAAUUCAUGUAUCGGAGCAUUGGGUCCCUCCGAUGGAAAAAGCCCAGAUAAUGCAAAAACACAACUGACUGCCAACGAUCUAGAAAUCCACAGGCUACACAAGAAGGCAUGUGAGGCUGAAAAGAGACUUUACAUUGACCCAUCGACAGGAUACAAGUGUCCAUAUGGCCAAGUCAACGUAGAGGAUCCAGCAAAGAAGAAGCAUUUCAAUUCGUUGUUUUACGUGUGACGAUGUUCUGAGGUAACUGCGGGAGUUAGUAUGCCAAGUGUAGUUUGUGCUCUCUCUCACUCAUUCUGGACUGUUUGAAGGACUGGUCUCCUUAACCACAUUUGUUUUAAGUGAUGAAAUACCAGGAAUCCAAGUGCAACCCCCAUCCCUUGAACCAGCAUGAAUCACAGUUAUCCAUUGUGAUUUAAGUCUCAGAGCUAUUGGUCAGCUCCUCUCUUGCAAAGGCGCAUGAACUCAAGCCUUUUGUUUUAAUCGUGAAUAUUUUAUCAUGGCUGGUGGUUUGUUCUUUUGAUGUCUCUCGACCCUAGCCUCGAUGUUGCCUUGAUAUUUUAAACAUGUUUAAUAAAAACAUCCAGCUGGUC